rnacentral:misc_RNA from 1 species
GAUGAAGAACGUAUCGAAAUGCGAUACGUAAUGUGAAUUGCAAAUUCAGUGAAUCAUCGAGUCUUUGAACGCACAUUGCGCCCCCUGGUAUUCCGGGGGGCAUGCCUGUCCGAGCGUCAUUGCUGCCCUCAAGCACGGCUUGUGUGUUGGGCCCCGUCCUCCGAUCCCGGGGGACGGGCCCGAAAGGCAGCGGCGGCACCGCGUCCGGUCCUCGAGCGUAUGGGGCUUUGUCACCCGCUCUGUAGGCCCGGCCGGCGCUUGCCGAUCAACCCAAAUUUUUAUCCAGGUUGACCUCGGAUCAGGUAGGGAUACCCGCUGAACUUAAGCAUAUCAAUAAGCGGAGGA